GUGUGUUAGUCUGCGUAGAUGUCACAACUGGGUCGCUUUCAGGUAUGCAAGACUUAUUCCUGAAAACCAAAGGUUUGUUCCAUCAAUUACAUUUAUACAUUCUCUCACCAUCUGCUGGAUGCGGUGGAAGCUCUUGCCGUGGAAGCUGAAGGCCUGCUCAAACAGCACUUUGUCCUCCACUGUCCACUCGUCUGGGAACGGGGUGAAGUUGGCCAGGUCAGCAAGCGAGCGCUCCACAUCAUGUUUGUGCCAUAAUAACAUGCCCAGAGCCUGAGCGCACAGACAGGACGAAGACAGAGUCAGGCAAACAGUGACAGGCUCCAUCUCUCUUUUCAUUGGCAAGAAAAACAAGGAGGAGAUGGUGGCGUGUCAGCCAGUGGACUCUUUUGGGAAUUCACCACCUGUGUUCUGCCAAAAUCCAGACGUUAAACGAGACGCUGGUUUUUCCUGCUUCUCCCCUCAUCUGGUGCAAUCUGAUGGUCAUGGGACAACUUUGUCGAUGGCGAUUGCUUUCGCAAUGUUCAGCCACUUUACAUGAUCUACCUCGACUUAUACAAUGAAUCAGGAUACUUCAAUAAGCUUGAUCUUACAAUCUUUAAACCUUUCCAUUCCCCGUGAAAUUGUUUUCAAACAAACAGGCUAAAAAAAACUAGCUUUAUUCUGAUUCAACAUCACUAUGGACUGUUCUGAAACAUCCCAAAAAAAAAAAAAAGAAUGUGAUGCCCAUUUACUAAGGGGUUUGAAUAUUGCAGAGCUAACCCCUUUUAUUGAUUAAACAAAGACUUGACACCCGCCUCAAAACAAACAUUACUCCCAUUACUGAACAAGGACAACCUCUGCAACACAGGCAAGUGUCUACAUUUUCCCUCUCCAUUUCCUGGAGAGACAGGAAGACAGUAACUGGUCAUUUGACCUUCAUUUCUCUCAUUGUCUGCAUUCCCCUCCUUCCUCCAUUUCAAUGUCCUCCACAUUACUCCUCACCUCUAGGUCUCCUUCUCAGCCCUGAUUUCCUCCCUCUCUCUAUUCAUUUUCCUUUUCAAUCAUCUCUUUUUCGCUCAUGUUUUCCUCUCUCAGCUUACCUGGUUUGAACUCUGGGAUCUGUGCCUGGUAGUCUCCCCCCACUCUGAUCAUACUGUCUGUAGAGAGAGAGAGACACACACAAGACGAAUAUGACUUUCUAUUUCCCAGAAGGAUGGGUAGAGCUGCAGAGAUGGAAGAGGAUGGGGGACAAGUAUUCCCGUAAAUUUCCCAGAAAGUUGCAGAGCUGGAUAGACGGGACCAUAAGAAGCAGAUAACAGGAGAGUCAUCUACAACAUGGUAAUCAUUUUUUGCGUUAUGCCCUCUAACCGGCUUCACUAUUGGUUUAUCCCAUCAGGGCUCUGCCUCUGCAAUAGCAAUAGCUAUUUAUAUUUACCAAAUUGUUGAUUAAAUGUCUGACACAUUGAAAUAAUAGCUGCAGGCCACUCAAUCAGAGCCAAUUGAGACCCUGUGGUUUGUGAGAAAAACAUCUAUACGAAUAGGCUAAAUACACAUCACAACACAGGCCUAAAAGCCUUAAGUCUUUAUGUAUUUUGUGAAACCAAGGACAAAAGGUUCUCCAAAACAGUGCUCUGGCUUUCAAAAGUGAAGUACAAUUUCAUGAACUGAUUUCUGUCCUACACUGAAAUUUCCAUAUUGUGGGAUCAGGGUUAGUGAAGUUGAUAAGCGCUUCCCAUCAAAGUGAGUUUUUUCCCCCUCAUACAUCAGAAUUUGAUUGUAAAUGAUUGAGCAGAUUUUUUUUCCAACUUGUUAAAAGGCCAGAGUGAUGUGCUGCUCUGAUUAAUUACUACUGACUGAACAUAUGAUGUGUAAUCAAUCAAUGAAUCACCUGCAAAGCUGAAUCGGCCAUAUCCUGGCACACCUCAUCUCGCUAUUAAUGUAGUUACAUUAUGGUUUAAACAGUAACCUCAAUCUUUGAAUACAUUGCAUUUGCUGUUUAAAGUAGCACCGAUGCUUAUUUUCCCUGAUGCUUAAUAGGCCUAAUUACAUUUAACAAAAAGGUUCUUUAGUGGAGGUAUUUCAGGCAAGGUGGGGCACUAUAAAAUACUGGGAAACCCUGGGGAUAUGUAAUUAGUUUGCAAGAGUGCAAACAAUCCUCAAGUUGUCAGCCUGUAAGAACCACACAGGGAGCCUGCUUUUAAUCAACUAUUGAAAUGAGUGUGGUUCUAAUGGUUUUAAAAGAGAAUGAAAUGUUGACUGUUUCAGUCUUCCCUUGUUCCAUUUCCAUAAUUGUUCUAAACAUUUGGUUUUCUGAACAAUUUGGUUCAACCAAGAUACCAGAAAGUUUUUAAUCACAGCAUAUAACUUGUCUCCGUUUACAGAAGAACAAGUCAAAUUCAACAGAAAUAGCAUAGAUCGUAAUAAAUACCUUUUAUGCAUUA